ACGUCAGUAUCGCUUGUGUUAUGCUAUCGAGCGGAACGACUUAACUGAACCUUCGGGGAACGUUAAGGGCGUGAGCGGCGGACGGGUGAGUAAUGCCUAGGAAAUUGCCCUGAUGUGGGGGAUAACCAUUGGAAACGAUGGCUAAUACCGCAUGAUGCCUACGGGCCAAAGAGGGGGACCUUCGGGCCUCUCGCGUCAGGAUAUGCCUAGGUGGGAUUAGCUAGUUGGUGAGGUAAUGGCUCACCAAGGCGACGAUCCCUAGCUGGUCUGAGAGGAUGAUCAGCCACACUGGAACUGAGACACGGUCCAGACUCCUACGGGAGGCAGCAGUGGGGAAUAUUGCACAAUGGGCGCAAGCCUGAUGCAGCCAUGCCGCGUGUGUGAAGAAGGCCUUCGGGUUGUAAAGCACUUUCAGUCGUGAGGAAGGUGGUGUAGUUAAUAGCUCUAUUAUUUGACGUUAGCGACAGAAGAAGCACCGGCUAACUCCGUGCCAGCAGCCGCGGUAAUACGGAGGGUGCGAGCGUUAAUCGGAAUUACUGGGCGUAAAGCGCAUGCAGGUGGUUUGUUAAGUCAGAUGUGAAAGCCCGGGGCUCAACCUCGGAAUAGCAUUUGAAACUGGCAGACUAGAGUACUGUAGAGGGGGGGUAGAAUUUCAGGUGUAGCGGU
rnacentral:rRNA from 1 species